UACGGGGGGGGCAAGCGUUGUUCGGAAUUACUGGGCGUAAAGGGUUUGUAGGUGGCUUGCUAAGUCAGACGUGAAAUCCCUCAGCUUAACUGGGGAACUGCGUCUGAGACUGGCGAGCUUGAGUGCAGGAGAGGAACGCGGAAUUCCACGUGUAGCGGUGAAAUGCGUAGAGAUGUGGAGGAACACCGAUGGCGAAGGCAGCCUCCUGGGCCAACACUGACGCUCAUGCACGAAAGCGUGGGGAGCAAACAGG
rnacentral:rRNA from 1 species